CUUGGGACCAGUUCUACGCAUUAGUUAUGCGCAGUAGCGAGCAGGAAGUAAAGCCGUAAAGCCGCGAAAUCAACGGCCCCACCCCUGGAGAAGGGUCCAACUGCAGCUUGCAGCAGUCGCUCACGCCAGGCCCCCUGCUCACGCCGCGCCCGCUCACGCCGUGCCCCCGCUGGCACGCAACUUCCGACUUUCAGACAUGUACGGUUUGUUUACAAGACGCAGAUGGACCAUAUUGCCAUAUUGAGUCAUGGCGGCAACAACUCCCGGGAAGCACCUGGUUUCAAUUAGAAAAGGAUGACAGGUGCAUCAUAUUGGAGUUACCAACGUGUGUGCUUUCUGUAAUCCUAAAUGAAGUGGUACUACAGGAAGGAGAUAAGGCAUACUUAAGAUUGGCUCUUGUGUGUCCACUGACUCCUUCAGGAGACGGGCACAUUUUCAGUGGCUUGACAGUGUCGCUACAUGGAGCAGGUUUUCUGAGUCCUAAAGAAAAUAAUUCUACACCAUGUACUCCGUGGACACCUGUCGUGAAUGUGGAAUGCUUUUCAAAAACUGCACACAUGGAUAUGUUAGAACAGGACAAAGGGGUGUACUUGAAGCAGUUUACUCAGAAGACCCACAUCCAGGUUACUGCGAUCACUUUUGCCGCCAAAUGCAAUAGUGAGAACGGACACGUAUACUAACUGUUGGCAGACAACCCUGAGCCAGCUGGGUGUUUUUCAAGCUGCAGGCCCCCGUGACAAUUUGUGGCUGGAAACUUGGGAUUUAAUUUUGAAUUCUCCAGUGUUAUUACAGACUGUUAAUUAAUUGGUUAUGACAAAAAAGAGAUGUCAUAUGUUUAAACAACCUUUGGGUGAACUUUUUGUAUAAUUUUAAAAAUGUUAAAACUAACAUCUAUUGAGAGUCUACUUUAUGCUUUUUUGGUUUUAAUAACAUCCUGUUCAAUGUGGAAUAAAAUUCAAAUCCUCUGAAUAUUGAGUCCAUUUCUGAACACUGGGGAGAUUGUGUGUACAACUGGUGAUCCGGUUUAUUGAAUGCAUUGCACCAAUAUGAUUUCUACCCAGUGCUGUACAUUUAUCAUUUGUUAAUAUAAUAAUACAGACAGUCUGACAUUUCCAUACCCACAGGAUUAAAGGGCCUACAUCUACGUACAGAUACUGAUCAGCAUAAAGUCCUUUGGAAUCACAUGUAAACUGCAGUAGAGGAUUUUUCUUUCAGUGCUUCUACCCAGAGAGAGCCUUCUAGUCCUCUUGUGACCAGCCCACUAUGUGACAGUACUGUCACAUAGUACAUAACUUAC
ensembl:lncRNA